rnacentral:lncRNA from 1 species
GUCCAGAUCCAUACCACCACAGGUGAACAUGGGAGCCGCCCUUGCAGGGUGGAGCAGCCUUCCGCAGAGAAUGAAGAGGGAGGUGUUGGCUCGCUGGAGACCGUACCUGCUGAGUCAGGGUGGCACCCACUUGAGCUGUCCCUUCUAAAAGCCAACUAGGGGCUCCUCACAGAGGACUGGGAGGCCAGCUGCACUUUGGUAGAGCAAACUCUUGCCAGGUAUCUGUACUGGUGAUCAGGACACUGCAGCUGUUACUCAAAGUUGUUACUCAAAGAAUUCUGCCCAAGAAUUUUAAUAUUCCCUAGGAGGAGUGUGAUUCUGUUAAUUGCUUCGACUUUCUUCAUGAGUUUAGGUGUAGAGCAAUGAUUUGAUUCACACAAUUCUCUCUUUGGAUGCUGUGUGGAAACAGAGGGGAGAAGAAAGGGGUAGAGGUUAGCAGCCUGGGCAGAAAAAGGGCAGUGGCAGUUUGGCCAGAGAAGUUACAGUGGAGACCAGAGAGGGUCUGACUUUUGGAAGGCAAAGCUGGUAAAACUUGUUGAAAAGUCAGGUCCAAGAUGCCACUCACCCAGGAAAGGAAGGCCUGAGUAUGGGAUUUUUUGAGUAGCAAAAAUUAACUGUUUUGUUUUGCACAUAUUAAAAUUAAAGAUGUCCCUUAAAUAUCCAAGUGCAGAUGUCAUAGAAUCUGUUGCUAGAGACAACCUCAGUGCUGAAGAUAAACAAGAGUCAGAUUUGGACCAAAAGAGAGCAGCUGAGGAGCAAGUGAAGACAAGAGAGAAGGUAUGGACUAGGGCACAGGUGGCCCAUCAGGUAAAGGUAACAGAAGAGAUGAGCCAGCAGAGCCUAUGAUGAACGACAGCAGAGAGGACCAGGGGGCCUGUGAAAAUAGCAUCGUGGAAGAUGAGAGAAGAUGGGGCUCCACACACUGCCACGGCCCUCAUGGCUGCAGGUGGAUGUGGUCAAGUUUGCUGAAGGCAGGCAAGACGACUGGAGCCGCCUAUCCCGUAGGAGAAAAUUGAAUGGAGAAGAUUCAGAAGAUAUUCAGGCCAGAUUAGGGGCACAUGUGAGUAUUUUUUUUAAAAUUAUUAUAACCUUUUUUUUUGGUAUGCCUGAAGAAUCUUAUAAUGAAAUAAUUUGAAGACAAAAACCGCAUUGCUUAUUUAAAAUUAUUUUCAUUUUGUGAAAUUCUGAGGGUAUAAAUUAAUCUAAAUAUAUGAUAUGAAUUUUACAUCAAUGAAAAAUCAAGAUGAGGAACAGAGGGACAGGGACAGCAGGAGGGGAUGUGGGGACAGGGAAAGGGCCAAAGUGGACAGAGGGAGAGGGACAGCAGGAGGGCAUGUGGAAGAGCAGUUAUUGCCAACUCUGGGAGCAGAGAGGUGUCAGGGUCCAGGAGGCCUCGGAUGAUCCAAACGAAGUAAGUGUGCAACGCGAAGCAGCUGGGCCGGAAACGGCGUGUUAUCCAGGAUGUCGAUGCUCACGUUGCAGUGGGGAGCACCAUGAGGGUGGUCCAGCCACCCAGACCUCCUCCCUAAGGCCCUGCCUGUAACCUAAAGCCACCGCCCUGUGACCUUCCCUGGGUACCUCCUCACUCUGCAGCCUGAGUUUCUCAUUUGUAAAGUCAAGGUAAUAAUGGCACCAGCAUGGCCUAUUUUUAAAAAUAUGCUGAGACAAUUAACAAAACUCAAGUUACUUAUUAAAUAUUCAGUAUAUGCCCAUUAUUGUUGCAGAAUCAAACAGAACCAUUUGGCUACCUAGCAGAAUCUUAUCUUAGGGAAUUUUAAAAAUUAUUUAACAAAACCUGAUACCAAUCUGCCAUGGGGACACAGACCUGCCCAAGUUUGUUGUUUCACAGUGGCUCUAAUCACAUCCAAGCCUCAAAAUGUCCAGAUUACAGCAUUUACUAUCCUACAGAGGAGGCUCACACUCCCUCCUUUCCCAGCUCGUCCUGGUUUUCAGGGGCUGACAGGACCCUAAGCCACGCCUGGGCUCCCCAGAACUUCCUAAAACUCUGUAGUGGGCAGAGGUAAGCCACUCAGUUCCAGGCACCAAGGACACUGCCAGGUAAGGGAAGAGGUCCACCUUUCUGUGUCAUCACAGAAUCAAUGUCACACCUCUGUAAGAUCAUUUAUAUAAUCACAGUAUAUAAAUCAUAACUGAAGAAUGAAGGCCAUUCUUUUGUAAAAUAAACUAAGAUGAAAUCUUCCAUGAGGAGAGGAAUCCUGAGUUGCAAAUCUUCUUGGCACAUUUGUAUUUCUUCAGAGAAGAACGGUAAGUAAGAAGAAAAUAAGGUGAAGUCAAUUGCCCUCUUCACGUCGGCCAGCUGUCCACCCCCCAGAAGAGGGAUUUCUUCUCAUUCUUCUGAGAAUCAAGGCUCAUUUACUUAAAGGCAUGCGCUAAAGAGUAAUGAGGCAAGCUGAAAGAGUCUUCCCAGUAUGCCUAGAGAAAUGUGACACACCAUCAUGUCUGAGGCCUUGUAAAAAUCGAAAGCCAUUUCCUUCGUUGAAAGACAGGAGCAGCGAAGCCUGCCUCAAAUGUGGCUUUCCAGACACCAAGGAAAGGACUCGGCUGCGCUCAGUUGCUACGGCAGAUGGAGCCUUGUGUGGUAGCCUCCCAGUGGCAGAGCUGGAGGGGAUCUGGAGCCUCCACUGGGAUGGCUGGAGGGGCAGGGAGGACAGGAUGAGGUCUACACAGAGCGACUUGAAAACUGAGGGGUCUGGCCACCAACAUCUGGGCAGGGGACCACCCUAGCCCCUGCCCUGGAGGAUAAUGCCCAGCACAUUCUGCAGUACCUCCAGAGGCCUGAGGGCUGGCUCUCAUGGGCCUGAAGAGGGGACCUGCCUUUUCU